CCCUAGCCCUGAUUGAAGCGGAAAUCCUUUUUAUUUUUUUUAAAAAAUAAAAAGAUUAUAGUGGAAAGCAGGAUUAAGC
rnacentral:sRNA from 1 species